AACUAAGUUUGUUCUUGGUAUAAGAUUUCGUCUGCAUGCACACUUCUUCAGAAGAAGUAUCUGAAGAAGUGUGCAUGCACAUGAAAGCUUAUACCAAGAACAAACUUAGUUGG